GGGGGUUUGCCCGAGUGGUUAAAGGGGGCGGACUGUAAAUCCGCUGGCUACGCCUACAUUGGUUCGAAUCCAAUAGCCCCCACUA
rnacentral:tRNA from 1 species